GCCAAAAUAGCUCAAUAGGUAGAGCGCUUGAUUCGUAAUCAGGAGGUUGGGUGUUCGAUUCACCUUUUUGGCA
rnacentral:tRNA from 1 species